UACGUAGGGCGCAAGCGUUGUCCGGAAUUAUUGGGCGUAAAGAGCUCGUAGGCGGUUUGUCGCGUCGGAUGUGAAAGCCCGGGGCUUAACCCCGGGUCUGCAUUCGAUACGGGCAGACUGGAGUGUGGUAGGGGAGAUCGGAAUUCCUGGUGUAGCGGUGAAAUGCGCAGAUAUCAGGAGGAACACCGGUGGCGAAGGCGGAUCUCUGGGCAAUAACUGACGCUGAGGAGCGAAAGCGUGGGGAGCGAACAGG
rnacentral:rRNA from 1 species